UUUCGGAUAAAGAAAAGUUGUUUUUGGUUCAUCAAAUAAAUAAGUACAGCAGGGUGAUUGAGUCGAAAGAAAGUAAUGGGCCAAAAAUUCAAGAGAAGCGGAAGAUUUGGCAGGCUAUCCAACAGGAGUUCAACGCAGAGCCAGACCACACUGAGAAGACUAUACAGCAGUUGCAGAAAUGUUGGGACAAUAUAAAGACCAGCAGGAAGAAGAAGUUGGCAAAGGAAAGGCAGGCCAAAAUGGGAACAGGUGGGGGUCCUCCUACAAAAUUUGAAGAUGACCAAGAAAUCGAUGCCAUCCUUCAAAAUUCAACUGCCAUUGACAUCCCAAAUGUGUAUGACAGUGACACCUCCAUGUUGGAGUCAACCAAAGAACAAGAAUUUUUCAAUAUGACCUUCAUCGAAGUGAGCCAAGAUGGGGAAAGUUCUGCUGUACCAGAAAUUUCAAUUAGGUCUACACCCCCACAGUUGACAAUGACACCUGCUUGUUCAA